AUCGCUUCUCGGCCUUUUGGCUAAGAGCAAGUGUAGUAUCUGUUCUUAUCAGUUUAAGUUGUAUGGUGGAGAACCUCUAACGGGGAGCUGUCAGCUCUAUUUGAGGAGAGGGUGAGGGUGCCAUAAAAUACUUCAUAAAGACAUUGACCCUUGGCUAACUCUU
rnacentral:snRNA from 1 species